UACAGGGGGUGCAAACGUUGCUCGGAAUCAUUGGGCGUAAAGCGCACGUAGGCGGUCUGUUAUGUCGGAUGUGAAAGCCCUUGGCUCAACUGAGGAAGUGCAUCCGAAACUGGCAGGCUAGAGUACUAAAGAGGAUCGCGGAAUUCCCGGUGUAGAGGUGAAAUUCGUAGAUAUCGGGAGGAACACCGGUGGCGAAGGCGGCGAUCUGGGUAGAUACUGACGCUGAGGUGCGAAAGCGUGGGGAGCAACAGGG
rnacentral:rRNA from 1 species